UAUGUGAUCGUCUCUCGCAUAUCAAUAAGCGGAGGAAAAGAGGGCUAGUUACCUACGCUUAGGAUGUUGACGAGACUGUCGAUCUCAUCUAUACAUGACUCUGUGCAUAUCAAUAAGCGGAGGAAAAGAAACUAACAAGGAUUCCCCUAGUAACGGCGAGUGAAGCGGGAAGAGCUCAAAUUUGAAAUCUUAAAGGGUUUCCCUUUACGAAUUGUAGUUUAAAGAAGUGUUUUCUGUUGAGGUUUUGGUAAAAGUUCUUUGGAAUAGGACAUCAUAGAGGGUGAGGAUCCCGUAUUUGACCUUUACUUUCAACUUUGUGAUACACUUUCAAAGAGUCGGAUUGUUUGGGAAUGCAGUCCAAAAUGGGUGGUAAAUUUCAUCUAAAGCUAAAUAUUGGCGAGAGACCGAUAGCGAACAAGUACCGUGAGGGAAAGAUGAAAAGAACUUUGAAAAGAGAGUUAAACAGUACGUGAAAUUGUCAAAAGGGAAGCGUUUGACACCAGUGUUGUUUUUCUGAAAAUCAAUUAAAGAACUGUUUAUGCUAAGUUGUUUAGACUUUAUCAGCUAUCUGCUUAGUUUUGAGCUUUUCUUUAAUGCACUUUUCAGUUAACAAGUCAACAUCAAUUUCUUUUGCUGUAAAAAAGCUUGAGGAAGGUGGCUUGAGAUUCGUCUUAAGUGUUUAUAGCCUCUUGCCUAUGCAGUCGGAGAGAUUGAGGUCUGCAGCGUAGAUCCUUCGGGGCUAAAUGCAUUUGUGCUAAGUUAUAGCAUUUUAUAGGACAACUUGUUGACUAUGAUUUGUCUUGUAGCUUACUCGCUUAUGUUAUUUUACCUACGCUUAGGAUGUUGAUCUACAGAGCGAGAGU
rnacentral:rRNA from 1 species